rnacentral:ncRNA from 1 species
UGAACAAAUUCAGACUGUGAAACUACGAAUGGCUCAUUAAAUCAGUUAUAGUUUGUUUGAUGGUAUUUGCUACUAGGAUAACCGUAGUAAUUCUAGAGC